UACGUAGGGUGCGAGCGUUGUCCGGAAUUAUUGGGCGUAAAGGGCUCGUAGGCGGUUUGUCGCGUCGGGAGUGAAAACCUUGGGCUUAACUCAGGGCUUGCUUUCGAUACGGGCAGACUAGAGGUAUGCAGGGGAGAACGGAAUUCCUGGUGUAGCGGUGAAAUGCGCAGAUAUCAGGAGGAACACCGGUGGCGAAGGCGGGUCUCUGGGCCGAACUGACUCGUGAGGAGCGAAAG
rnacentral:rRNA from 1 species